AGUAAUUUCUCUACUGUGCUGCGGACAGUCGGCCUGGCCGUCUGCAGCGUGAGUGCAAGCAAUCUUAGGAAAGACCAUACAGCGUGAUACACUUCGUGUCUGGUGUCAAAAAUCUGCAUGUUAGUUACUGCAGUUGAACUACGAGUAGAGCUGGGCAAAAGUGCGCUAGACAGGCGGGAAUCCCACCCCUGGCCUGUCAUGGAGAGGGGGAACUAGCGACCAUCCCCGACAGGCUAGAAAAAAGCUGUGUGUGUGGGGACAGAGCACUUCACCCUCGUGUUGUGUUUGACCGGCUCAGUGGCGUCAUGCACAGACAGGCAGUCUUUGGAUGGCUACACAACAGGUGGGGAGGGAGCCCUGAGAGUGCUCUCACCUGACAGAGUGGCAUGCGGAGUGUAGGUCAUGCCCUCCCAUAAGUGAUUUGUUUACCUAUGACCGAGGUGAAGGAGAGUGUGAGGUCUGUGGAUAAACACGCCGAAGGAGGAGGAUUUAUCAUCGCUCGUCGGCCCGGUGACGGAGGAAGACAAAGGCGAUAAACGUGAUGGUAUUUUGGUGUGUGGCGACAUCAGCAUCUUAUUGGCCUGAGCCCCUGUCAUGUCACCUCUGCUCAUCGUCAUCCUUGUCAUCCAUCAUCGUCAUUCAUCAUCGUCGCCUCAUCCCCGUGUUGCCAAGGUUAUCUCGCCCUCAGGAUGCCUCGUGGACUAAUGGAGAGCUGAGCAAGAACAUCCUGCAGUGGGCUGUGUGGUGACUGCUACACGCUGGAGGGUAGACUCUUAAAAACACAGAUCCACAGCUAGACUGGAGACCUGCAGGAACUGGACGUAGACUGACUGUAAGGAUCCUGCUCUGACAGCCACCUGCCCCUUCCUUCCACCCUCCACAACCUCCCCAGCCGCUCCAUGAUGUGUGAUAAUACUCUCUCGACUUUCCCCUCUUCAGAAACCUGAAUUCCAUGUCGAGCUCAAAUUAACCAAAAGAUCGUGAAGGGAAGAAACAGGCGAUGGAAGCAGCGUCUCUUUGAUAUCAGAUUCUUGAAGGACUGAGUGAAGCUUGGUAUGGGAGUCCAUGUCGUGUGCCAAGUACGACGGCACGAGACUUCGUUGUUGACGUAUCUAGUCUUUCUUCUCAUAAGUUACUGCAUUUUAGUCUGGAAAUUUUGGAUAUUAUACUGAGGACAUAAGAAAAUAAGGGAUUCUGCACGAAGCCAUCAAGCCCGCUCGUGGCAGUCCCUGUAUGAAACAUUUUCCUGUUCUCACUUACCAUUAAUUUUACUUCUUAUCUUACUCCUUUACUAUGCUGGUUUCCUCUGUUAAAAUUUGUGACAAUGUAGGGAAACUUUGGAUUCGAAGAACAAGAGAUUGGUUGAUCUUUUUCUUACCUAAUGGUUCUGAACUAUUUAACAUAAAUAACUACUACUUCUUAUUUUAACUCUUUCACUUCCUUGGCCUUUCUCUAAUAAUAUUCAGGAUGAUAUAUGAAUCUUAUUGCAUGAACGCUGUGAGAGAAUGAGAAAAGGUAAGUCAUCUUUGUCUUAUCUAAGAUUCUGAUCCAUUUAACAUACUACAGUGCAAAAAUAAGUGUUCCUUUUUACCUAGCUUCUUUACUACUUUGAUCGUCUUCUGUUAAAAGUCAGGAUAAUAUAGAAAUCUUAUUGCAAACAUUCAAUGGAAGGAAGAGAAAUGGUUAAUUAACUCUGUCUUAUCUAGGGCACUGAAUCAUUUAACAGACUGUAGUGGAAAAAUAAGUAUUGCUAACUUUUUCCACUGUUUUGGUCUUCCCUUUGCUUAAAAUUCGCGUUAUUGUAGGAAACUUUGCAUGGAGUCGAAGAAAGAAAGAGAAUCAGUUGAUUUUGUCUUACUUAAGGUCUUCAACAAGUUAAUUAACAAGAUUAUAGUGCAAAAAUUCAAGCAUCUAAAAGAGUUGUAAACGAUUAUAUGAAACAUUAUGUAGCAGUAAAAGAGGUAGAAGUCAUAAUUUUUUGAGUUAGUCAUGUAAUCAAGGCUUAUAAGUAGAGUGUAAAUCAUGCUGGUUUACCUCAGUGCAAUUACUAUACAGGGACUGCCACAUGUAGACCUAAUCUCGCAGCUUCCCUUAUUUUUUCUACGUUCUUAUACUCUUUUCUUCUUAUUCAUCAAGUAUCUACAGCCGAAAAUUUUGAGCAACUUUGAGUAGACUGACGAACGAUAAAAAAAAAAAAAAAAAAGCGACUUGAAUAAAUUAAUGUACAAAUAUUUAUAAAAUUGAAAUAAAAGAAUGUAUAUCAACUGAAGAAAA